rnacentral:RNase_P_RNA from 2 species
CGAGUCAGCCAGGCGGCCGCGUCACCGGUUCGUCCGGUGCCGAGGAACGUCCGGGCUCCGCAGGGCAGGGUGGUGGGUAACGCCCACCCGGGGUGACCCGCGGGACAGUGCCACAGAAAGUAGACCGCCGGGCCGGUUCGCCGGCCCGGUAAGGGUGAAACGGUGGUGUAAGAGACCACCAGCACCCCCGGUGACGGGGGUGGCUCGGUAAACCCCACCCGGAGCAAGGUCAGACAGGGAGCGUUCGAGGGCGGCCCGCCCGAGCUCCCGGGUAGACCGCUGGAGCGGGCCGGCAACGGUCCGCCGAGAUGGAUGGUCGCCACCCGCGCGCGGGUGACCGCGCGCGGGGACAGAACCCGGCGUACCGGCUGGCUCGUCCG